UACGGGGGGGGCAAGCGUUGUUCGGAAUUACUGGGCGUAAAGGGCUCGUAGGCGGCCAACUAAGUCAGACGUGAAAUCCCUCGGCUUAACCGGGGAACUGCAUCUGAUACUGGAUGGCUUGAGUUCGGGAGAGGGAUGUGGAAUUCCAGGUGUAGCGGUGAAAUGCGUAGAUAUCUGGAGGAACACCGGUGGCGAAGGCGGUCAUCCUGGACCGACACUGACGCUGAGGAGCGAAAGCCAGGGGAG
rnacentral:rRNA from 1 species